AGGAGCGACCAUAUUAGCACUAAUGCUCAGGAUUCCAUCAGAACUCCGCAGUUAAGCAUGCUUGAGCGAAAAUAGUUCUAAGAUGGGCUUGUCUUAUGACUUCCAUAGAUUCAGGCUAGUGGCUUGACAUCU
rfam:Cephalotus follicularis DNA, scaffold: scaffold8092, isolate: St1.